CUCUUUUCAUCGAGCAGAAGGCGAUGAGCGUUGUGGAUCGAUUGUUGCAUCGCAGCUCUUCAGGGUUGGAUUUGGAGUUGGAAUUGCGUUAAUCCUGCAUCGCAAAUCCAGCAAUGGUGUCGGUGCAGGCAAAUCCCGCGUUGUCUCAUCUCCGCGGAGAUGAGUACGACAGCUGGGUCACCACCAUUCAUAUCAACGAACAACUGGAUUUGUGGGUCGGGGCGUUGGGAGGUUGGGCAUUAAUGCGCAGUGUAUGAGAACAGAGCGGGAGCUGCGUGUUCGCCUGGUUUCUAGUUCGGAACAUCAAUGGGGCUGAUAAUUGGGGAGCUGGAGUUUGUGGUAGCCUGAAGCGUGACGAUUUUGUUAGGAUGGUGUCCAGCAGCCGACGCCGACGGUAAUGUGAAGAUUUUGGAAGGCAAUGCUGUUGUUGAUGCUGCAGCAAAUGAGGCCAUCUGGGACCUUACAGUGAAAAGCUUGAAUGUAAAUGCUUGAAUGUCUUAGCUUGGUCUAUAUUUCAGUUAGUUUCAAUUCUUAACAAGAUCAAUUUCAAACCAUAUUCGGGAAAUUCAUCGGGGGGAUAUUACCAUUGCUACUAGGAACAGUAUCAGUUGAUUGCAGGGUAGUUUAGGUAUCCACAAUUUUAAAGGAUGUGCCUUGUCCAUUAUACUACACUAAUUUAAUCUUCCAAUUCACCAAAACUUAGGUGCCUCA